rnacentral:rRNA from 1 species
CACGUAGGGCGCAAGCGUUGUCCGGAAUUAUUGGGCGUAAAGAGCUCGUAGGCGGUCUGUUGCGUCCGCUGUGAAAACUCGGGGCUUAACCCCGAGCCUGCAGUGGAUACGGGCAGACUAGAGGUAGGUAGGGGAGAAUGGAAUUCCCGGUGUAGCGGUGAAAUGCGCAGAUAUCGGGAGGAACACCGGUGGCGAAGGCGGUUCUCUGGGCCUUACCUGACGCUGAGGAGCGAAAGCGUGGGGAGCGAACAGGA